UGGGGAAUAUUGCACAAUGGGCGCAAGCCUGAUGCAGCUAUGCCGCGUGUGUGAAGAAGGCCUUCGGGUUGUAAAGCACUUUCAGCGAGGAGGAAGGUGGUGAACUUAAUACGUUCAUCAAUUGACGUUACUCGCAGAAGAAGCACCGGCUAACUCCGUGCCAGCAGCCGCGGUAAUACGGAGGGUGCAAGCGUUAAUCGGAAUUACUGGGCGUAAAGCGCACGCAGGCGGUUUGUUAAGUCAGAUGUGAAAUCCCCGGGCUCAACCUGGGAACUGCAUUUGAAACUGGCAAGCUAGAGUCUCGUAGAGGGGGGUAGAAUUCCAGGUGUAGCGGUGAAAUGCGUAGAGAUCUGGAGGAAUACCGGUGACGAAGGCGGCCCCCUGGANGAAGACUGACGCUCAGGUGCGAAAGCGUGGGGAGCAAACAGAUUAGNUACCCUGGUAGUCACGCCUGUAAACGAUGUCGAUUUUGGAGGUUGUG
rnacentral:rRNA from 1 species